ensembl:lncRNA
CCGGUUUUUUAAAUACUGCAUGUUUACGUACGCACUCUCUCUCUCUCUCUCUCUCUCUCUCUUUCUCUCUCUUCCUCGUGCUCUUUCACUCUUUCCGUGACAGUCUGUUGAGAUGUGACAGCACUGAACUCCAGAGACAUCCCUGCAUGAAACUGAAAAAUGAGGCUCCAUUCAUGUGACUAAGGUGCAGGCCUGUGAAACUGAGGAGGGUGACUGCCGAUUGGAAGCGUAAUCAGAUUCCGCGUUCGCACGUCCAUCCGGAGGGAUCCCGACACCGGCUGGACUGGAGGAACGCCUUUGGAUGGAUUGAAGAUGACAGCCUCACGGCGUCUUGCUAGGGUGCGCACGCCAGCCCCGGUUAGUGUCACGUCCACUGUAAACGGAGCUGACAGCCCCAAGGCCACGUACUGAUUAAUGGCUACAUCUGUGUUUUAACACCGCAGCGUGUCGUCCGUCCGCCCGCAUGCGCUCCUAUCCCUGAGUUCGCCAUGUGAUCUGUUAUUACCAUGACAAUGACACAAGAAAAAGUCAUAUGCUUUAGGUCUACUGAAGACUAGAGGACCAGUAUUUCAGUUACAAUUAUGGUUGUCAUAACCUUUUUUUUUUCAGUAUACCUAAUAUAUCAAAUUCCACUGCAGGGUUUGCAAAAGCAGAAGAGCAGGAACUUUAUGCAAUGUAAUCCUUACAAUGGCACAACCAUAAAAUUACAACUAAUGUGGUUAAACAGAAGACUGAUUCAGUUUAAUUUUAUUUAUAAAUUCUUAAACACGCCAUAACACCAAACAUAACUCACAUUCCACAACAAAUGUGUAAAGCAUCUUGUAAAAUCAGUCUGGAGUCUGUGGUGUCUAGAGUUUGUGCUUCUGUCAAGAUCCAGAUCACCAUUAAGAAAUCCACAUUCUGAUUCAAUGUGUUGCACAAAGAGAGAGAGAGAGAGAGCACCUGCAAGGUCACUUUAGAAGCCAUUGUUUCCUAAAUCAUGCCAAACAUGUAGCAGACACGGCUGAGAACAUAGCCUACUGCAUAGUAGAACCACACUGUAGACAGUGGUUCUCAUACAAUAACAAUCACAUUUUUUAUGUAAAAAACUUUAAAGUUUCGCAGACUUGAAGUUUCGC